rnacentral:rRNA from 1 species
GAUGAACGCUGGCGGCGUGCCUAAUACAUGCAAGUCGAGCGAACGGACGAGAAGCUUGCUUCUCUGAUGUUAGCGGCGGACGGGUGAGUAACACGUGGAUAACCUACCUAUAAUACUGGGAUAACUUCGGGAAACAGGAGCUAAUACCGGCUAAUAUUUUGAACCGCAUGGUUCAAAAGUGAAACACGGUCUUGCUGUCACUUUUAGAUGAAUCCGCGCUGCAUUAGCUAGUUGGUAAGGUAACGGCUUACCAAGGCGACGAUGCAUAGCCGACCUGAGAGGGUGAUCAGCCACACUGGAACUGAGACACGGUCCAGACUCCUACGGGAGGCAGCAGUAGGGAAUCUUCCGCAAUGGGCGAAAGCCUGACGGAGCAACGCCGCGUGAGUGAUGAAGGUCUUCGGAUCGUAAAACUCUGUUAUUGGGGAAGAAAAGAAGUGGAAGUAACCGUGCACGUCUUGACGGUACCUAAACAGAAAGCCACGGCUAACUACGUG